CACUAAGAAGCUAAAUAGGGAAUAGCGUUAGCCUUUUAAGCUAAAGAUUGGUGGCCCCCGCCCACCCCUAGUGA
rnacentral:tRNA from 1 species